rnacentral:rRNA from 1 species
AUCUUGCAAAUGUAUUUUUUCGGUGUAGGAUGAGGCUAUAUCGUAUCAGCUAGUUGGUAGGGUAACGGCCUACCAAGGCUAUGACGCGUAACUGGUCUGAGAGGAUGAUCAGUCACACUGGAACUGAGACACGGUCCAGACUCCUACGGGAGGCAGCAGUAGGGAAUAUUGCUCAAUGGGGGAAACCCUGAAGCAGCAACGCCGCGUGGAGGAUGACACUUUUCGGAGCGUAAACUCCUUUUCUUGGGAAAGAAUUAUGACGGUACCCAAGGAAUAAGCACCGGCUAACUCCGUGCCAGCAGCCGCGGUAAUACGGAGGGUGCAAGCGUUACUCGGAAUCACUGGGCGUAAAGGACGCGUAGGCGGAUUAUCAAGUCUCUUGUGAAAUCUAACGGCUUAACCGUUAAACUGCUUGGGAAACUGAUAAUCUAGAGUAAGGGAGAGGCAGAUGGAAUUCUUGGUGUAGGGGUAAAAUCCGUAGAGAUCAAGAAGAAUACCCAUUGCGAAAGCGAUCUGCUGGAACUUAACUGACGCUAAUGCGUGAAAGCGUGGGGAGCAAACAGGAUUAGAUACCCUGGUAGUCCACGCCCUAAACGAUGUAUACUAGUUGUUGCUUCGCUAGUCGAGGCAGUAAUGCACCUAACGGAUUAAGUAUACCGCCUGGGGAGUACGGUCGCAAGAUUAAAACUCAAAGGAAUAGACGGGGACCCGCACAAGCGGUGGAGCAUGUGGUUUAAUUCGAAGAUACGCGAAGAACCUUACCCGGACUUGAUAUCUAACAAAUCAUCCAGAGAUGGAAGAGUGUCUGCUUGCAGAAAUGUUAAGACAGGUGCUGCACGGCUGUCGUCAGCUCGUGUCGUGAGAUGUUGGGUUAAGUCCCGCAACGAGCGCAACCCACGUCAUUAGUUGCUAACGGUUCGGCCGAGCACUCUAAUGAGACUGCCUUCGUAAGGAGGAGGAAGGUGUGGACGACGUCAAGUCAUCAUGGCCCUUAUGUCCGGGGCGACACACGUGUUACAAUGGCGUAUACAAUAAGACGCAAUAUCGCGAGAUGGAGCAAAUCUAUAAAAUACGUCCCAGUUCGGAUUGGAGUCUGCAACUCGACUCCAUGAAGCCGGAAUCGCUAGUAAUCGUAGAUCAGCCAUGCUACGGUGAAUACGUUCCCGGGUCUUGUACACACCGCCCGUC